GCUCGUAGUUGGAUUUCGGGAUGGGCCAGUCGGUCUGCCGCAAGGUAUGUUACUGGCUGGUCUGUCCUUCUUCGCAAAGACUGCGUGUGCUCUUAACUGAGUGUGCGUAGGAUUUGCGACGUUUACUUUGAAAAAAUUAGAGUGUUCAAAGCAGGCUAACCGCUUGAAUACAUGAGCAUGGAAUAAUGGAAUAGGACUUUGGUUCUAUUUUGUUGGUUUCUAGAACUGAAGUAAUGAUUAAGAGGGACAGUUGGGGGCAUUCGUAUUUCGUUGUCAGAGGUGAAAUUCUUGGAUUUACGAAAGACGAACAACUGCGAAAGCAUUUGCCAAGAAUGUUUUCAUUAAUCAAGAACGAAAGUUAGAGGCUCGAAGACGAUCAGAUACCGUCCUAGUUCUAACCAUAAACGAUGCCGACUAGGGAUCAGCGGGCGUUAUUUUAUGACCCCGUUGGCACCUUAUGGGAAACCAAAGUUUUUGGGUUCCGGGGGAAGUAUGGUUGCAAAGCUGAAACUUAAAGGAAUUGACGGAAGGGCACCACCAGGAGUGGAGCCUGCG
rnacentral:rRNA from 1 species